AAGAGGAGGAGGAGGAGGAGGAGGAGGAGGAGGAGGAGGAGGAGGAGGAGGGAGACGAGAAGGUCGAGGAGGAAAAUAAAAUAGAAGAAGUGAAGCCAUGGUGGAGGAGCUCAAGAUACGCAGAAGAAAAGCAGGUACAGGAGGAGGAAGAGGAGGAGGAGGAAGAAACAGAGCAGGAGGAGGAGGAAGACGAGAAGGUGGAGGAGGAGGAAAAUAAAAUAGAAGAAGUGAAGCCAUGGUGGAGGAGCUCGAGAUACACAGAAGAGAAGCAGGUGGAGGAGGAGGAAAAUAAAAUAGAAGAAGUGAAGCCAUGGUGGAGGAGCUCGAGGUAUGCAGGAGAGAAGGAGCAGUUGAAGGAAAAGGAGGAGGAGAAAGAAGAAGAGGACGAGGAGGUGGAAGAGGAGAAGGUGGAGGAAGUGAAAGAGUGGAGGAGGAACUGGAGACAGGCGAGAGAGAAGGAUGAGGAAACUGUGGAGGAGGAGAAGGAGGAUGAGACAGAAGAGGAGGAAGAGGAGAAGGAUGAGGAGACAGACCAGGAGGAGGAGGAAGAGGUGGAAGAGGAGGAGGAGGCAAAUAAAAUAGAAGAAGUGAAGCCAUGGUGGAGGAGCUCGAGAUAUGCAGGAGAAAAAGAGGAAGAGGAGACAGAGAAAGAGGAGAAGGAGGAGGAAGAGACAGAGCAGGAUGAGGAGGAAGAGGAGGAGGAGGAUGGGGAAGAGGAGAAGGUGGAGGAGGUGAAAGAUUGUAGGAGGAAUUGGAGAAAGGCAGGAGAGAAGGAUGAGGAGAUUGAGGAGCAGGGGCAGGAGGAGGAGACAGAGCAGGAGGAGGAGGAAGAUAAAGAGGUGGGGGAGGAAGAUAAACUAGAAGAAGUGGUGCCGUGGUGGAGGAGCUCGAGAUACCAAAGAGAGAAGGAGGAGGUGAAGGAAAAGGAGGAGGAGAAAGAAGAGGAGGAGGAGAAGGUUGAGCAGGAGGAGGGGAGGGUAGAGGAUGCUGAUGAGGAGACAGAUGAGGAAGAGGUUCAGGAAAAGCAAGAUGAGGGAGAGGUGAAGGAGCAGGUGAAGGGGGAAGAGAUGGUGAAGGAAGAGGAAGAUGAAGAGGAGGAGGACUCAAAUGAGGAGGAAGAGGUAAAGGAGGAGGAGGUGAAGGUUACGGUAGAGGAGGUAGAUGAGGUUAGGGUGGAGCAGGAGAAGGAUAAUGAUGAAGAGGAGGAGACUGAUGAGGAGGAAGAGGUGAAGGUUGAGGUAGAGGAGGUAGAUGAGGUUAAUGUGGAGCAGGAGGAGGAGGACUAUAAAGAGGUGGAAGAGGUGAAGGAUGAGCAGGAUGAGGUAGAGGAGGAGGGUGAUGAAGAGGAGGAGACAGAUGAGGAGGAAGAGGGAGGUGAGGUGAAGGUAGAGCAGGAGAUAAUGAAGAGGCCGAGACAGAUGAGGAGGAAGAGGUGAAGGUUGAGCAGGAGGAGGAGGAUGAAGAGGAGGAGACAGAUGAGGAGGAAGAGGUGAAGGAGGAGGUAGAGGAGGAGGAGGUGAAGGAGAAGGAUAAAUAUGAGUUGGUGAUGCAGUGGUGGAGGAGAUGGAGAUGCACACCAAAGGUAGAGGAGGUGAAGGAGAAGGAGGAGGAGGAGGAUGAAGAGGAGGAAACAGAUGAGGAGGAAGAGGAGAAGGAGAAGUUAGGGAAGAUGAAUGGGUCGGAGGAGUUGAAGGAGGGAGAUAAAGCAGAGGAAGGGGAGGUAGAUGAGAUAAAGGACAGGACGAGGAGAUCGAGAAACUCAGGAGGGAUGCAGGAGGUGGAGGUAGAGGAGGAAGAAGUGUUUGAGGAUGCGAUGGAAGAGUUUGAGGAUGCGAAAGAAGGGCAUGGCAUAGAUGCUGAGAAAGACGAGGAAGUAGAGGAGACAAAACAGUGGGAAAACUCUUAAUGUGAUUGUCCUCAUAUGUAUAAUAAAUUCCUAUUUAAUUGUAUCAUUCACAUUUAUAUAACAUGAAAGUAUAUUGUAUUUUUGUGUUCCCGUAUACAGUAGUAUGUUCCUGUAUGAGAUUUGUAUUAUUUAUAUUAAUUAUUUUAUGAUAUGUGUUAUAAUGAUAUUUCCCAGUUAAAUUGUUUUUUUUAAGUUACUUAUUGAUAUAUUAAUGAUAAUGUUGAAUAAUGCAAAGUAUGAUUAUUGUUGGAUUCCCUUCGGACAAAAACUUUGAAAACUAGAAAGAAUUAUUCAAGGGUUAAUUCUUCAAGUCUAGAGUGUUAAGAAAUUACUUUCAGUCGAUAAAAACUGUCUUAAUUAAAACUUUUUAUUGAAA
ensembl:lncRNA